rnacentral:misc_RNA from 1 species
GUGAAUCAUCGAAUCUUUGAACGCACAUUGCGCCCCUUGGUAUUCCAUGGGGCAUGCCUGUUCGAGCGUCAUUUGUACCUUCAAGCUUUGCUUGGUGAUGGGUGUUUGUCCAAUCUUCAGAUUAGACUCGCCUUAAAAUUAUUGGCAGCCGGCAUAUUGGCCUUUGGAGCGCAGCACAUUUUGCGAUCUAAGCCUGUAUACUGGUAUCCAUGAAGCCUCUUUAUCACUUUUGACCUCGGAUCAGGUAGGGAUACCCGCUGAACUUAAGCAUAUCAAUAAGCGGAGGA